rnacentral:rRNA from 1 species
GAUAAACGCUGGCGGCGUGCUUAACACAUGCAAGUCGAACGAAGUUUUUCCUUCGGGAGAAACUUAGUGGCGGACGGGUGAGUAACGCGUGGGUAACCUGCCCUGUACAGGGGGACAACAGCUGGAAACGGCUGCUAAUACCGCAUAAGCACUUAGCACUGCAUGGUGCAUAGGGAAACGGAGCAAUCCGGUACAGGAUGGACCCGCGUCUGAUUAGCCAGUUGGCAGGGUAACGGCCUACCAAAGCGACGAUCAGUAGCCGAUCUGAGAGGAUGUACGGCCACAUUGGGACUGAGACACGGCCCAGACUCCUACGGGAGGCAGCAGUGGGGAAUAUUGCACAAUGGAGGAAACUCUGAUGCAGCGACGCCGCGUGAGUGAAGAAGUAUUUCGGUAUGUAAAGCUCUAUCAGCAGGGAAGAAAAUGACGGUACCUGACUAAGAAGCACCGGCUAAAUACGUG